rnacentral:rRNA from 1 species
CGCGGUAAUUCCAGCUCCAAUAGCGUAUACUAAAGUGUUGCAGUUAAAAAGCUCGUAGUUGGAUUUCUGGCGGGGACGGCUGGUCGGUCUCGAAAGGGGCUGUACUGUUGUUGGUUCCCGUCAUCCUUGGGGAGAGCGGCUCUUACAUUAAGUUGUCGGCGUCGGGAUCCCUAUCUUUUACUGUGAAAAAAUUAGAGUGUUCAAAGCAGGCUUAGGCCCUGAAUACAUUAGCAUGGAAUAAUAAGAUACGACCUUGGUGGUCUAUUUUGUUGGUUUGCACGCCAAGGUAAUGAUUAAUAGGGAUAGUUGGGGGUAUUCGUAUUCAAUUGUCAGAGGUGAAAUUCUUGGAUAUAUGGAAGACGAACUACUGCGAAAGCAUUUACCAAGGAUGUUUUCAUUAAUCAAGAACGAAAGUUAGGGGAUCGAAGAUGAUUAGAUACCAUCGUAGUCUUAACCAUAAACUAUGCCGACUAGGGAUCGGUGGGUGCAUUUUUAGGCCUCAUCGGCACCUUAUGAAAAAUCAAAGUCUUUGGGUUCCGGGGGGAGUAUGGUCGCAAGGCUGAAACUUAAAGAAAUUGACGG